GACGAACGCUGGCGGCGUGCUUAACACAUGCAAGUCGAACGGAAAGGCCCUGCUUUUGUGGGGUGCUCGAUUGGCGAACGGGUGAGUAACACGUGAGUAACCUGCCCUUGACUUUGGGAUAACUUCAGGAAACUGGGGCUAAUACCGGAUAGGAUCUCCUGCUGCAUGGUGUUGGUUGGAAAGUUUCGGCGGUUGGGGAUGGACUCGCGGCUUAUCAGCUUGUUGGUGGGGUAGUGGCUUACCAAGGCUUUGACGGGUAGCCGGCAUGAGAGGGUGACCGGGCACAUUGGGACUGAGAGACGGACCAGACUCCUACGGGAGGCAGCAGUGGGGAAUAUUGCACAAUGGGCGGAAGCCUGAUGCAGCAACGCCGCGUGCGGGAUGACGGCCUUCGGGUUGUAAACCGCUUUCGCAUGUGACGAAGAGUGAGUGACGGUAAUGGGUAAAGAAGCACCGGCUAACUACGUG
rnacentral:rRNA from 1 species